rnacentral:rRNA from 1 species
UACGUAGGGUGCAAGCGUUGUCCGGAAUUACUGGGCGUAAAGAGCUCGUAGGUGGUUUGCCGCGUCGUCUGUAAAAUUCCGGGGCUUAACUCCGGGCGGGCAGGCGAUACGGGGAAACUGGAGUGCUGUAGGGGAGACUGGAAUUCCUGGUGUAGCGGUGGAAUGCGUAGAUAUCAGGAGGAACACCAAUGGCGAAGGCAGGUCUCUGGGCGGUUACUGACGCUGAGGAGCGAAAGCAUGGGUAGCGAACGGG